rnacentral:rRNA from 1 species
GACGAACGCUGGCGGCGUGCUUAACACAUGCAAGUCGAGCGGAAAGGCCCUUCGGGGUACUCGAGCGGCGAACGGGUGAGUAACACGUGAGUAAUCUGCCCUUGGCUUUGGGAUAACUACCGGAAACGGUGGCUAAUACCGGAUACGACAACCGUCUGCAUGGGCUGGUUGUGGAAAGUUUUUUCGGCCAGGGAUGUGCUCGCGGCCUAUCAGCUUGUUGGUGGGGUAAUGGCCUACUAAGGCUUCGACGGGUAGCCGGCCUGAGAGGGUGACCGGCCACACUGGGACUGAGACACGGCCCAGACUCCUACGGGAGGCAGCAGUGGGGAAUAUUGGACAAUGGGCGGAAGCCUGAUCCAGCAACGCCGCGUGAGGGAUGACGGCCUUCGGGUUGUAAACCUCUUUCAGUACCGACGAAGCGCCGAUGAUGGUGGUGACGGUAGGUACAGAAGAAGCACCGGCCAACUACGUG